rnacentral:tmRNA from 1 species
GGGGGCGAAUGGGUUCGACGGAGUGACUGAUGGAUUUAAGGGCAUAGCGAGGUUCUUCUAUCGCCUCGUUAAUAUUGAUAGAAGAAAAAACAGCUGCCAAUAACAGCUACGCACUGGCUGCCUAAUCAAAGGCAACCCCUUAAUCCACAAUCUCACCCGGUGUGGAAUUAGGGUCGAUUAGGGUGAUAAAGGUUUGGGUUGCGUCUCAGAACCUAAACCGGAUAUAAACCUGAGACUGGUUGAUUCCUGCCUGUCCUUUGGCUAAAGAAUCGACAAGAAUCAUAAAAGGAAUAACUAUGUAGAACUUAAGUCCUGAACGCUUCGGACGCGGGUUCGAUUCCCGCCGCCUCCACUU